UACGUAGGGACCGAGCGUUGUCCGGAUUCAUUGGGCGUAAGAGCUCGUAGGCGGCUGUUCAAGUCGAACGUGAAACUCGGAGCUCAACUCCGAGCCUGCGUUCGAUACUGGACGGCUAGAGUCUGUAGGGAUCGUGGAAUUCCUGGUGUAGCGGUGGAAUGCGCAGAUAUCAGGAGGAACACCGGUGGCGAAGGCGGAUCCUGGCCAGUACUGACGCUGAGGAGCGAAGCGUGGGAGCAACAGG
rnacentral:rRNA from 1 species